rnacentral:rRNA from 1 species
GAUUCUGGCUCAGAACGACGCUGGCGGCGCGUUUAAGCAUGCAAGUCGAGCGGCAAGGGCCUUCGGGCCCCUAGAGCGGCGGACGGGUGAGUAACACGUGGACAAUCUGCCCCCCGGCCCGGGAUAGCCCAGGGAAACCUGGAUUAAUACCGGAUGAGACGGGACCCGCGAUGGCGGGAUCCGGGAAAGGCGCUGCGGCGCCGCCGGGGGAUGAGUCUGCGUCCCAUUAACUAGACGGCGGGGUAACGGCCCACCGUGGCGACGAUGGGUAGCCGGCCUGAGAGGGUGGACGGCCACAUUGGAACUGAGACACGGUCCAGACUCCUACGGGAGGCAGCAGCUAAGAAUCUUCCGCAAUGGGCGAAAGCCUGACGGAGCGACGCCCGCGUGAACGAAGAAGGCCGUGAGGUUGUAAAGUUCUUUUCGGGAGGGGGAACAACCGUGGCAGGGAAUGGCCGCGGGAUGACGUGAAUCCCGGAAUAAGCCCCGGCUAACUACGUGCCAGCCGCAGC